CGUGAAAUUGUUGAAAGGGAAGCGCUCAUGACCAGACUUGGGCUUGGUUGAUCAUCCAGGGUUCUCCCUGGUGCACUCUUCCAGCCCAGGCCAGCAUCAGUUCGCUGUGGGGGAUAAAGGCUUUGGGAAUGUGGCUCCUCCGGGAGUGUUAUAGCCCAUUGUGUAAUACCCUGUGGUGGACUGAGGUUCGCGCAUCUGCAAGGAUGCUGGCGUAAUGGUCAUCAGCGACCCGUCUUGAAACACGGA
rnacentral:rRNA from 1 species